ACUGUCCCUAGAAGCCUCAAAAUGUGGCUGCUGUGUUCCAUGGCCAUCAGUAGGUGUCAGAGAACCUAGAGGUUAUAUCUAUGCUCAGGGUAGUAUCUAUGAACAUCUGAAUGAUGUAGCCUAAGACU